rnacentral:rRNA from 1 species
AAUGAACGCUGGCGGCGUGCUUUACACAUGCAAGUUGAGCGAGGCCGGGUAGCAAUACCCGAGUCGAGCGGCGAACGGGUGAGUAACGCGUGGAUAACCUGCCCAGAAGUGGGGGACAACCCGGGGAAACGUCGGGCUAAUACCGCAUAACACCGAAAGGUCAAAGGGGCCCGGCAAGGGUCUCGCUACUGGAGGGGUCCGGCGUUCGAUUAGCUAGUUGGUAGGGUAAUGGCCUACCAAGGCGACGAUCGAUAGCCGGCCUGAGAGGACGACCAGCCACACUGGGACUGAGACACGGCCCAGACUCCUACGGGAGGGCAGCAGUGGGGAAUAUUGGACAAUGGGCGAAAGCCUGAUCCAGCGAUGCCGCGUGUGUGAAGAAGGCCUGCGGGUUGUAAAGCACUUUUCAGUAGGGAAGAAAAGCCGAGUGCCAAUACACCUCGGUCUUGACGUUACCUAAAGAAGAAGCACCGGCUAACUCCGUGCCAGCCGCCGCGGU